rnacentral:rRNA from 1 species
AUUGUACGCUGGCGGCAGGACUAACACAUGCAAGUACAGCGGAGCGGCGGACGGCUGAGUAAUGCCUAGGAAUCUGCCUGGUAGUGGGGGAUCACGUCGGGAAACGGGCGCUAAUACCGCAUAUUAUCAGAUGAGUCUAGGUCGGAUUAGCUAGUUGGUGGGGUAAAGGCCUACCAGGGCGACGAUCCGUAACUGGUCUGAGAGGAUGAUCAGUCACACUGGAACUGAGAAACGGUCCGGCCGCCUACGGGAUGAAGCAGUGGGGAAUAUUGGACAAUUGGCGAAAGCCUGAUCCAGCCAUGCCGCGUGUGUGAAGAAGGUCUUCGGAUUGUAAAGCACGUUAAGUUGGGAGGCGUUACCAACAGAAUAAGCGCCGGCUAAAUUCGUGCCAGCAGCCGCGGUAAUAC